rnacentral:rRNA from 1 species
CCUGACAUAAGUAACGAUAAAGCGGGUGAAAAGCCCGCUCGCCGGAAGACCAAGGGUUCCUGUCCAACGUUAAUCGGGGCAGGGUGAGUCGACCCCUAAGGCGAGGCCGAAAGGCGUAGUCGAUGGGAAACAGGUUAAUAUUCCUGUACUUGGUGUUACUGCGAAGGGGGGACGGAGAAGGCUAUGUUGGCCGGGCGACGGUUGUCCCGGUUUAAGCGUGUAGGCUGGUUUUCCAGGCAAAUCCGGAAAAUCAAGGCUGAGGCGUGAUGACGAGGCACUACGGUGCUGAAGCAACAAAUGCCCUGCUUCCAGGAAAAGCCUCUAAGCAUCAGGUAACAUCAAAUCGUACCCCAAACCGACACAGGUGGUCAGGUAGAGAAUACCAAGGCGCUUGAGUGAACUCGGGUGAAGGAACUAGGCAAAAUGGUGCCGUAACUUCGGGAGAAGGCACGCUGAUAUGUAGGUGAAGCGACUUGCUCGUGGAGCUGAAAUCAGUCGAAGAUACCAGCUGGCUGCAACUGUUUAUUAAAAACACAGCACUGUGCAAACACGAAAGUGGACGUAUACGGUGUGACGCCUCCCCGGUGCCGGAAGGUUAAUUGAUGGGGUCAGCGCAAGCGAAGCUCUUGAUCGAAGCCCCGGUAAACGGCGGCCGUAACGAUAACGGUCCUAAGGUAGCGAAAUUCCUUGUCGGGUAAGUUCCGACCUGCACGAAUGGCGUAAUGAUGGCCAGGCUGUCUCCACCCGAGACUCAGUGAAAUUGAACUCGCUGUGAAGAUGCAGUGUACCCGCGGCAAGACGGAAAGACCCCGUGAACCUUUACUAUAGCUUGACACUGAACAUUGAGCCUUGAUGUGUAGGAUAGGUGGGAGGCUUUGAAGUGUGGACGCCAGUCUGCAUGGAGCCGACCUUGAAAUACCACCCUUUAAUGUUUGAUGUUCUAACGUGGACCCGUGAUCCGGGUUGCGGACAGUGUCUGGUGGGUAGUUUGACUGGGGCGGUCUCCUCCUAAAGAGUAACGGAGGAGCACGAAGGUUGGCUAAUCCUGGUCGGACAUCAGGAGGUUAGUGCAAUGGCAUAAGCCAGCUUGACUGCGAGUGUGACGGCGCGAGCAGGUGCGAAAGCAGGUCAUAGUGAUCCGGUGGUUCUGAAUGGAAGGGCCAUCGCUCAACGGAUAAAAGGUACUCCGGGGAUAACAGGCUGAUACCGCCCAAGAGUUCAUAUCGACGGCGGUGUUUGGCACCUCGAUGUCGGCUCAUCACAUCCUGGAGCUGAAGUAGGUCCCAAGGGUAUGGCUGUUCGCCAUUUAAAGUGGUACGCGAGCUGGGUUUAGAACGUCGUGAGACAGUUCGGUCCCUAUCUGCCGUGGGCGCUGGAGAACUGAGGGGGGCUGCUCCUAGUACGAGAGGACCGGAGUGGACGCAUCACUGGUGUUCGGGUUGUCAUGCCAAUGGCACUGCCCGGUAGCUAAAUGCGGAAGAGAUAAGUGCUGAAAGCAUCUAAGCACGAAACUUGCCCCGAGAUGAGUUCUCCCUGACUCCUUGAGAGUCCUGAAGGAACGUUGAAGACGACGACGUUGAUAGGCCGGGUGUGUAAGCGCAGCGAUGCGUUGAGCUAACCGGUACUAAUGAACCGUGAGGCUU